rnacentral:tRNA from 1 species
CCAGCUGUGGCCUACUGGUCAGCGCUUCGGACUUGUAACCGGAGUGUUGCCGGUUCGAACCCCGACCAGUAGGA